rnacentral:lncRNA from 1 species
CCCACAUCCUGACGGGCUGCGACUUCCUCUUCCUUCGCUCGGCCUCCUUCCUCUUCUGCGAUCUCUUCCUUGCAUCUUAAAUCUCUCCCUUCCCACCUGUGGGUCCACUCUGGUCCCCAUUAACGCAUCCCCACCCUGUAGCUGGGACAUUUAUUGAUCAAUGAGUAAGUAUUCUUAUGUUCCUCCCGAUUUCCCAGCAUCCUUUGCAGCUAGGUGCCUUGUCCUUGACACACUAUUUUACCAAAUUAUUCCGGGCUUGACUCCCAGUGACGCCCAGGGCCUCAAACUCUGCAACACUUCCUGUGGCUUCAGCUGUUUGCUGCUACACAUGGGCCUGCUCUGUGCAGCUCCAGCCCCCACUCUGGCACCUUCCUAUUAUUUGAAUUUUCCUCCUGCCCCUUCAGAUCUUCCUAAGGCCACUCUAAUGGCUGCCUUUCCUUCCUCCUGCCCCCUAAUGAGAGCCCCUCCCAAGGUCUAGCUCAGCUUUCUCCAUCCUCGGUGCGUCCCCACUCCAUCUCCCCUAAGCCAAUGGCUUCAGUAUUCCUGACCAAGUGUGACCCUCAAAUCACUUAUGGUCACUGCUCUCACAGCGCUUAGGCUCACAAUGGAGUGCCAGGCACGCUUCCUGAGCUCCAAGACCACAGCUUUGGUCCUGGAUGGAUGUACCAUGCCCAACCCACUUACCCUCUCCCUCCCACAUUAAGCCGGCAACCCUGGCCCCCACAGUACGUGGUUUCUUUAUUCUUAUAACUCCCCAGCCUCAACUUCUGGGGCCCUUAUCUCCAUCCAUGCAUAUAUCCAGGCAGUUCCCAGUUCUGGAAGAUUCUGUCUCUUCUGAUUCUCCUCUGUAUCUCCCCA